rnacentral:lncRNA from 1 species
UGGGGCCUUACUUUCUCAAAGGUUUGGGUUUAUUCCCCUCUAGAUGUUGAGUUGCAACCUUACACAUGAGUUUCUACGUGGGUCAAUGCUUAGGGUCCUCAAUCCUAUAGGCGACACACCUUCGCGAGUAGUGGUACAUGUGGUUCUUACUCUCUCAGAGGUAAUUGAAACAAAGAUUUAAAUUAGGUUUCUGAAAUUCUCAAUGGUCUUAAA